AUUGAACGCUGGCGGCAUGCCUUACACAUGCAAGUCGAACGGCAGCGUGAUCUAGCUUGCUAGAUUGAUGGCGAGUGGCGAACAGGUGAGUAAUACAUCGGAACGUGCCCUGUAGUGGGGGAUAACUAGUCGAAAGAUUAGCUAAUACCGCAUACGACCUGAGGGUGAAAGUGGGGGACCGCAAGGCCUCAUGCUAUAGGCGCGGCCGAUGCCUGAUUAGCUAGUUGGUGGGGUAAAGGCCCACCAAGGCGACGAUCAGUAGCUGGUCUGAGAGGACGAUCAGCCACACUGGGACUGAGACACGGCCCAGACUCCUACGGGAGGCAGCAGUGGGGAAUUUUGGACAAUGGGCGAAAGCCUGAUCCAGCAAUGCCGCGUGUGUGAAGAAGGCCUUCGGGUUGUAAAGCACUUUCGUCCGGAAAGAAAUGGCUCUGGUUAAUACCUGGGGUCGAUGACGGUACCGGAAGAAUAAGGACCGGCUAACUACGUGCCAGCAGCCGCCGUAAUAC
rnacentral:rRNA from 1 species